GAUGAACGCUGGCGGCGUGCUUAACACAUGCAAGUCGAACGGAAAGGCCCAAGCUUGCUUGGGUACUCGAGUGGCGAACGGGUGAGUAACACGUGGGUGAUCUGCCCUGCACUUCGGGAUAAGCCUGGGAAACUGGGUCUAAUACCGGAUAGGACCACUUCUUGGAUGUUGUGGUGGAAAGUUUUUUCGGUGUGGGAUGAGCUCGCGGCCUAUCAGCUUGUUGGUGGGGUAAUGGCCUACCAAGGCGUCGACGGGUAGCCGGCCUGAGAGGGUGUACGGCCACAUUGGGACUGAGAUACGGCCCAGACUCCUACGGGAGGCAGCAGUGGGGAAUACUGCACAAUGGGCGCAAGCCUGAUGCAGCGACGCCGCGUGGGGGAUGACGGCCUUCGGGUUGUAAACUCCUUUCGCUAGGGACGAAGCGUUUUGUGACGGUACCUGGAGAAGAAGCACCGGCUAACUACGUG
rnacentral:rRNA from 1 species